AGCAUAUCAAUAAGCGGAGGAAAAGAAACCAACAGGGAUUGCCUUAGUAACUGCGAGUGAAGCGGCAAAAGCUCAAAUUUGAAAUCUGGCGUCUUCGGCGUCCGAGUUGUAAUUUGGAGGGAUAUCUUCGGGGUUGGCGCCGUCCUAAGUUCCUUGGAACAGGACGUCAUAGAGGGUGAGAAUCCCGUGCCUGGAUGGCUGUCCAACUCCAUGUGAAGUGUCUCCGACGAGUCGAGUUGUUUGGGAAUGCAGCUCAAAAUGGGUGGUAAAUUUCAUCUAAAGCUAAAUAUUGGCGAGAGACCGAUAGCGCACAAGUAGAGUGAUCGAAAGAUGAAAAGCACUUUGAAAAGAGAGUUAAAAAGUACGUGAAAUUGUUGAAAGGGAAGCGCUUGCGACCAGACUCGAUCUUUGGUGAUCAGCCGGGCUUCUGUCCGGUGCCCUUGCCAUUGAUUGGGCCAGCAUCGGUUCUGACGGCGGGAUAAAAGGAAGGGGAAUGUGGCUCCCUUCGGGGAGUGUUAUAGCCUCUUUCACAAUGCCGCCAGUCGGGACCGAGGACCGCGCUUCGGCUAGGAUGCUGGCGUAAUGGUCUUAAGCGACCCGUCUUGAAACACGGACCAAGGAGUCUAACAUCUAUGCGAGUGUUCGGGUGGAAAACCCUUGCGCGUAAUGAAAGUGAACGGAGGUGUGAACCCUUCACGGGGUGCAACAUCGACCGGUCCUGAUGUCUUCGGAAGGAUCUGAGUAAGAGCAUAGCUGUUGGGACCCGAAAGAUGGUGAACUAUGCCUGAAUAGGGUGAAGCCAGAGGAAACUCUGGUGGAGGCUCGCAGCGGUUCUGACGUGCAAAUCGAUCGUCAAAUUUGGGUAUAGGGGCGAAAGACU
rnacentral:rRNA from 1 species